rnacentral:rRNA from 1 species
AUUGAACGCUGGCGGCAGGCCUAACACAUGCAAGUCGAACGAGUCGCGGACGUGUGAGUAAUGUCUGGGAAACUGCCUGCUGGAGGGGGAUAACUACUGGAAACGGUAGCUAAUCCCGCAUACCAUCAGAUGUUCCCCUAUGGGAUUAGCUUGUUGGUGGGGUAACGGCGCACAAAGGCGACGAUCCCUAGCUGGUCUGAGAGGAUGACCAGCCACACUGGAACUGAGACACGGUCCAGACGCCGACGGGAGGCAGCAGUGGGGAAUAUGGGAAAAUGGGCGCAAGCCUGAUGGAGCCAUGCAGCGUGUAUGAAGAAGGCAUUCGGGUUGUAAAGUACUUUCAGCGGGGAGGCGGUACCCGCAGAAGAAGCACCGGCUAACUCCGUGCCAGCAGCCGCGGUAAUUC